rnacentral:lncRNA from 1 species
UUUUUGAUUUUUUUUGAUUUUUUUGAUUUUGAUUUUUUUGAUUUGAUUUUUUUUUUUUUGAUUUUGUUUUUCACCCUCUUUUUGAUAUUACAUCUGUAAAACCCCAAUUUGACUGUUUCUAGGUUCUCAAGAUGCGGCUGAAUGAUCUUAUCUUCAUGCUCAAGAAGACGGGUAAUCUCAUCAGGAAUCCCUUCAACAUCAUCUUCCUCUGCCUCGAAUACAG